UACAGAGGUCUCAAGCGUUGUUCGGAUUCAUUGGGCGUAAAGGGUGCGUAGGCGGCGCGGUAAGUCGGGUGUGAAAUCUCGGGGCUUAACUCCGAAACUGCAUUCGAUACUGCCGUGCUUGAGGACUGGAGAGGAGACUGGAAUUUACGGUGUAGCGGUGAAAUGCGUAGAUAUCGUAAGGAAGACCAGUGGCGAGGGCGGGUCUCUGGACAGUUCCUGACGCUGAGGCACGAAGGUCAGGGGAGCAAACGGG
rnacentral:rRNA from 1 species